AAAGUCGUAACAAGGUUUCCGUAGGUGAACCUGCGGAAGGAUCAUUAAAAAUUGAAUCUGCAGUUAGGUUAGCCCUGCUGUGGUAUUUAAACCACACUGUGAACCAAAAAACUUUGCUUCGGUAGCAGGUUGGUUCAGGUUCCACCUGUUCCAGCUGUCAGCCUGCCGGCAGCACCAAUUAAACUUGUUUAUAAAAACUAGUCUGAUAACCAUUAUUUUCGAAUGAAAAUUAAAACUUUCAACAACGGAUCUCUUGGUUCUC
rnacentral:misc_RNA from 1 species